GAAACGCGAUAGUUAAUGUGAAUUGCAGAAUUCAGUGAAUCAUCGAGUCUUUGAACGCACAUUGCGCCCCCUGGUAUUCCGGGGGGCAUGCCUGUCCGAGCGUCAUUGCUGCCCAUCAAGCGCGGCUUGUGUGUUGGGCCGCCGUCCCGCCCCCCGGGGAGGGACGGGCCCGAAAGGCAGCGGCGGCACCGCGUCCGGUCCUCGAGCGUAUGGGGCUCUGUCACCCGCUCUGGAGGCCCGGCCGGCGCCCGCCGACCCCCAACCUUCCUCUAACCAGGUUGACCUCGGAUCAGGUAGGGAUACCCGCUGAACUUAA
rnacentral:misc_RNA from 1 species